CCAAUCAAGUCACCGUCAGUCCAAGCGGUGACGUCGUCGACGAUCGAGUCCGGAACGCCGAACACCUUUUUUUUCCCCUCCCGUUCGCUUUCCACGUAUUUUGUCAGCCUUUUUUUCCCCUCACGUCGUUUGACUUUUCCAUCCGCGGGAGAACGAUUCAAAGAAUGUCCUUCUGCUUGUUUUGGUUCGGCAUGGCGUAGCUUUCUCUUCCUUGUUCUCAUUCCUUCGUUGUCUUCUUCCCUCUUCUCACGGCGGAACGGUGUUUGAGUUUAGGGGGGGGGGGGGGCAGGGGGACGACGACGACGACCGCGACGGCGGCGGUCCCCACAGGGCAAAAGCGUCCGAAGAAGGUUGCCUUGCGAGCGGACUCUGCGACAGACAUGUUGUCGACGCUUGCCUUCCUUCCGAGCUAGUUAGCAGAAAUGUCGGCGCAGUAAAGGACGAACCUGGACCGAGCUGGACGUACCUGGACGGACGCAGUCUGGCUCGGUGUGCUGGUCCUGCCUGAGACUAGUCGGCGCGGACAACUUAAGAUUUGUUAGCCUGCUCCCCUUCAAAAAUAAACAAACAAAGAAAUAGACAAAACAUUCACUUGCUGACCAUCUCAGGCAGUGGCCGUUUUUGACCCGAGGUACCCGAAGUUGGAUGUUUGGGUUUGAACGACCUGCAAGAUGACAUCCAGCACGCCAGCAGACAUGAUUAACCUGCGACUCAUCCUGGUCAGUGGGAAGACUAAAGAGUUUCUGUUCUCUCCCGACGACUCUGCGGCGGACAUCGCCAAACACGUUUAUGACAACUGGCCAAUGGACUGGGAGGAAGAGCAAGUCAGCAGUCCCAACAUCCUCAGGCUCAUCUACCAGGGACGCUUCCUGCACGGGAACGUGACGCUUGGAGGCCGGGCCCUGUCUUUUAAAGCCACGCACAUCCAAAGUCACAGCACAACAGACCUGUACAAGGCCUGAAGCUUCCUCUGGGCAAGACCACCGUCAUGCACUUAGUGGCCAGGGAGACGCUGCCUGAGCCCAACUCCCAAGGUCAGAGGAACCGGGAGAAGAGCGGGGAGAGUAACUGCUGUGUCAUCCUGUAAAUGGAACCCUUUAAAACCUCCAAUUUGUCAUCCGGACCCCCCGACCACCACCCUGCCUUAUUGGGUCCGUCCCCACUAUCUCGUGACAACAACACAUCUACAUUGGGCCGCUAAACUGAAGUUUGGAGUUUGUUUUGUUAUUGUUUCUAUUUUAUUUGUUUUCCCCUCAACACUGUAAGCCUACACACACACACAGACACAUUGUGUAACUGGCUGGGAGCUGGUUGCCACGGUGAUGCCUUGUUUUUCCUUUUUGAAUUCUAACAAGUGCACUAAUAUACCAAGACACACACACGCGCACACACUGGUGGCCAUCUUGUUGCCAAGAAGAAGAGACGCUCCACAACAGUGUUGUCCUCAAUUUGGUCUUUUCUCUUUGUGAAUAUUCAUAUUUUUCUUCUAAUUAUCAUGAAUUAUUAAUGACAUCCAUUUUGCACAACACAAGUGUGUGCUACUUAGGCACAUUCGAUAACAACCGUACGUAUAAGUGUAUGUAUGUAUGUUAUUUGUAUGUAAGAGUUGUUCUGCAUGUACUGUAUGUGUGCUUCGCUUCUGGCCUCAUGAUUGACAGAUUUCUUUUGACGUGGGCUUGUUUUUUUUUUUUUUUUUUAAUUAUUAUUGUGAAUUGAUCAACAUGAUCAUUUAUUGCAAUCACGUGUACAUGAAAUCAACAUUUUCAAUUAUAAAUAGCUCCCCCCACACACACCUGUAAACUAAAUAAAGCUUAUUGAAGUCUCA